GACGUAGGGUGCAAGCGUUGUCCGGAUUUAUUGGGCGUAAAGAGCUCGUAGGCGGCUUGUUGCGUCGACUGUGAAAACCCGCGGCUUAACCGCGGGCUUGCAGUUGAUACGGGCAGGCUAGAGUUCGGUAGGGGAGACUGGAAUUCCUGGUGUAGCGGUGAAAUGCGCAGAUAUCGAGAGGAACACCUGCGGCGAAGGCGGGUUGCUGGGCUGAUACUGACGCUGAGGCGCGAAAGCCAGGGGAGCGAACGGG
rnacentral:rRNA from 1 species